AACGAUAAAGCGGGUGAAAAGCCCGCUCGCCGGAAGACCAAGGGUUCCUGUCCAACGUUAAUCGGGGCAGGGUGAGUCGACCCCUAAGGCGAGGCCGAAAGGCGUAGUCGAUGGGAAACAGGUUAAUAUUCCUGUACUUGGUGUUACUGCGAAGGGGGGACGGAGAAGGCUAUGUUAGCCGGGCGACGGUUGUCCCGGUUUAAGCAUGUAGGCUGAUUGUCCAGGCAAAUCCGGAUAAUCAAGGCUGAGGUGUGAUGACGAGGCACUACGGUGCUGAAGUAACAAAUGCCCUGCUUCCAGGAAAAGCCUCUAAGCAUCAGGUAACAUUAAAUCGUACCCCAAACCGACACAGGUGGUCAGGUAGAGAAUACCAAGGCGCUUGAGAGAACUCGGGUGAAGGAACUAGGCAAAAUGGUGCCGUAACUUCGGGAGAAGGCACGCUGGUGUGUAGGUGAAGUCCCUGCGGAUGGAGCUGAGACCAGUCGAAGAUACCAGCUGGCUGCAACUGUUUAUUAAAAACACAGCACUGUGCAAACACGAAAGUGGACGUAUACGGUGUGACGCCUGCCCGGUGCCGGAAGGUUAAUUGAUGGGGUUAUCCGUAAGGAGAAGCUCUUGAUCGAAGCCCCGGUAAACGGCGGCCGUAACUAUAACGGUCCUAAGGUAGCGAAAUUCCUUGUCGGGUAAGUUCCGACCUGCACGAAUGGCGUAAUGAUGGCCAGGCUGUCUCCACCCGAGACUCAGUGAAAUUGAACUCGCUGUGAAGAUGCAGUGUACCCGCGGCAAGACGGAAAGACCCCGUGAACCUUUACUAUAGCUUGACACUGAACAUUGAGCCUUGAUGUGUAGGAUAGGUGGGAGGCUUUGAAGCGUGGACGCCAGUCUGCGUGGAGCCAACCUUGAAAUACCACCCUUUAAUGUUUGAUGUUCUAACGUUGGCCCCUGACCGGGGUUGCGGACAGUGUCUGGUGGGUAGUUUGACUGGGGCGGUCUCCUCCCAAAGCGUAACGGAGGAGCACGAAGGUUAGCUAAUCCUGGUCGGACAUCAGGAGGUUAGUGCAAUGGCAUAAGCUAGCUUGACUGCGAGCGUGACGGCGCGAGCAGGUGCGAAAGCAGGUCAUAGUGAUCCGGUGGUUCUGAAUGGAAGGGCCAUCGCUCAACGGAUAAAAGGUACUCCGGGGAUAACAGGCUGAUACCGCCCAAGAGUUCAUAUCGACGGCGGUGUUUGGCACCUCGAUGUCGGCUCAUCACAUCCUGGGGCUGAAGUAGGUCCCAAGGGUAUGGCUGUUCGCCAUUUAAAGUGGUACGCGAGCUGGGUUUAGAACGUCGUGAGACAGUUCGGUCCCUAUCUGCCGUGGGCGCUGGAGAAUUGAGGGGGGCUGCUCCUAGUACGAGAGGACCGGAGUGGACGCAUCACUGGUGUUCGGGUUGUCAUGCCAAUGGCACUGCCCGGUAGCUAAAUGCGGAAGAGAUAAGUGCUGAAAGCAUCUAAGCACGAAACUUGCCCCGAGAUGAGUUCUCCCUGAGACUUUAAGUCUCCUGAAGGAACGUUAAAGACGAUGACGUUGAUAGGCCGGGUGUGUAAGCGCAGCGAUGCGUUGAGCUAACCGGUACUAAUGAACCGUGAGGCUUAACCUU
rnacentral:rRNA from 1 species